rnacentral:lncRNA from 1 species
UACAAUACAAUACAAUACACCAUCAUCAUUCAAUCAUUCAUCAAUCACACCAGAAAAUGAAAAAGAAAGCAGGAAAGAUCGAAAGUAUGAUACCAGUGCAAGAAGAAGAUUCCGGGGACUGUGGAAUUUCUCCCAGUCUCUUUCUGCAGCAAAUUCAGUCUGCUUCUUCCUCAGUUCUUCUAUUGUAACACUCUCCAUUACCAACUUCUCUUGCUGUCUUUGAUCUACUUCUUUUGCCGUUGAUUGCUUUGUAUAUAUUUCACCUUCUCUCUGACAUUUCAAUUAUCAUUUACCAACCUUCAUUGUCUCUCAUCAGAUGGAUGGAUGGAUUCUAUGGGCGGCGGCCACGAUGAGAGUUUCUUCUUCAACCUGACACUUCAAUUGUGGAAUCAAUGAUUUUCACUUUUUGAAAAUAAUAAAUUUGUUGUUUGGUAAAAAAAAAUCAAUUGUUGCCAAUAAUUAUUGUACACAAUAAAGAAGAAAACUUUUCAUAUUUCCAUUUUUGCAAUUGUGGGGGUUGUUUAAGCCUCCAUUUUUGGUACAAUAUACAUGUGAAGUUUGAUACUUUUGCUGAAACAAAGUAAAUUCAAAUAAAACCAAACAUUCAGUAUAAUUUUUUUACUUGGUAUCAG